CCCUUUAAUGUUUGAUGUUCUAACGUGGACCCGUGAUCCGGGUUGCGGACAGUGUCUGGUGGGUAGUUUGACUGGGGCGGUCUCCUCCUAAAGAGUAACGGAGGAGCACGAAGGUUGGCUAAUCCUGGUCGGACAUCAGGAGGUUAGUGCAAUGGCAUAAGCCAGCUUGACUGCGAGCGUGACGGCGCGAGCAGGUGCGAAAGCAGGUCAUAGUGAUCCGGUGGUUCUGAAUGGAAGGGCCAUCGCUCAACGGAUAAAAGGUACUCCGGGGAUAACAGGCUGAUACCGCCCAAGAGUUCAUAUCGACGGCGGUGUUUGGCACCUCGAUGUCGGCUCAUCACAUCCUGGGGCUGAAGUAGGUCCCAAGGGUAUGGCUGUUCGCCAUUUAAAGUGGUACGCGAGCUGGGUUUAGAACGUCGUGAGACAGUUCGGUCCCUAUCUGCCGUGGGCGCUGGAGAACUGAGGGGGGCUGCUCCUAGUACGAGAGGACCGGAGUGGACGCAUCACUGGUGUUCGGGUUGUCAUGCCAAUGGCACUGCCCGGUAGCUAAAUGCGGAAGAGAUAAGUGCUGAAAGCAUCUAAGCACGAAACUUGCCCCGAGAUGAGUUCUCCCUGAGACUUAGAGUCUCCUGAAGGAACGUUGAAGACGACGACGUUGAUAGGCCGGGUGUGUAAGCGCAGCGAUGCGUUGAGCUAACCGGUACUAAUGAACCGUGAGGCUUAACCUUACAACGCCGAAG
rnacentral:rRNA from 1 species